ACGAGUUAGGGUCUCUCUGGCCCGACCUCCCAACCCUUUGCCUAUCUAACCAUCGUUGCUUCGGCGAGCCCGUCUUCACGGACCGCCGGAGGACCCUCACCGGUCCUCUGGCCCGCGCUCGUCGGUAGCCCCUACAUUAAAACCUAUAACUAAACGUAUCUCUAUCUAAGUACCACAUUUUUAAAUGUAAAAACA
rnacentral:misc_RNA from 1 species